rnacentral:rRNA from 1 species
UACGUAGGGGGCUAGCGUUAUCCGGAAUUAUUGGGCGUAAAGCGCGCGCAGGCGGUUUCUUAAGUCUGAUGUGAAAGCCCACGGCUCAACCGUGGAGGGUCAUUGGAAACUGGGGAACUUGAGUGCAGAAGAGAAAAGCGGAAUUCCACGUGUAGCGGUGAAAUGCGUAGAGAUCAUGAGGAACACCGGUGGCGAAGGCGGAUCUCUGGGCCUUACCUGACGCUGAGGCGCGAAAGCUAGGGGAGCGAACAGG